AAACAUCUUAUUCAUAGAUAAGGAUCUUAUUCUUUAUUGUGUUUUGUAUCAAAACUUCAAAUAUUUUAAUAAAUACAUCAGGAUAUGAUAAAUACCGAUUAAUAUGGUGUAAUGGAGGAUUUGUGGAGAUAUUUGGAUUACUCUACUCAUUCAAGACAAUAUAACCUUGUUGUGGAAAUGAUGAAGGGCACACUUUUAAAUGCAAAUAAAAUGUAUACUAUAAUAAAUAUAUAAAUAAAUUGUUCACUUUAAGAUGACUGCCGGUAUAUACUAAAUUAUAUUCUAACACUUUACUCAAGUUUAUUAUGAUUUUAUCAAUCAGACAGGAGAAAUAUCAUUAGAGGUUUUAAUGGAGGAUUUGUGGACAUAUUUGGAUUAAUCUACUCAAUCAGGACAAUAUAACCUUGUUAUGAAGAUGACAAAGGGCACACAUUGCAAUCGCAAAUAAAAUGGAUACUAAGUUCACUUAAAGAUGACUGCCUGUAUAUAAUGGAUUAUAUUCUAGUUCUUACAGAUACUUUCCUCAAUUUCAAAAUUUUAGUUUGGUAUGAGAAUUUCCAGCAAUUUGACUCAAGGUACGA